GUCGUACGGGACUGGGAGGGGCAACUCUUCCGGUUCAGUGGCAGACGGGUGCGUAACACGUGAGGAACUUGUCCAUCGGUGGGGGACAGCCGGCCCAACGGCCGGUUAAUACCGCAUACGCUCGUUCGGGGGCAUCCCUGGGCGAGGAAAGCAGCCGCAAGGUUGCGCCGGCGGAGGGCCUCGCGGCCUAUCAGCUAGUUGGCGGGGUAACGGCCCACCAAGGCGACAACGGGUAGCUGGUCUGAGAGGAUGGCCAGCCACAUUGGGACUGAGACACGGCCCAGACUCCUACGGGAGGCAGCAGUGGGGAAUCUUGCGCAAUGGCCGCAAGGCUGACGCAGCGACGCCGCGUGUGGGAUGACGGCCUUCGGGUUGUAAACCACUGUCGGGAGGAACGAAUACUCGGCCUCGAAUAGGGGUCCGGGGGUGACGGUACCUCCAAAGGAAGCACCGGCUAACUCCGUGCCAGCAGCCGCGGUAAUACAGAGGGUGCGAGCGUUGUCCGGAAUUACUGGGCGUAAAGGGCGCGUAGGUGGCGCGUUAAGUCGCUGGUGAAAUCCCGCUGCUCACGGCGGGGCUGCCGGCCAGACUGGCGCGCUAGAGCACGGUAAGGGCAGUUGGAAUUCCCGGUGUAGCGAUGGAAUGCGUAGAGAUCGGGAAGAACACCAGUGGCGAAGCGUACUGCUGGGCCGUUGCUGACACUGAGGCGCGACAGCGUGCGGAGCAAACACGAUUAGAUACCCUGGUAGUCCACGCCGUAAACGAUGGACACUAGGCGUCUGGGGGAGCGCCCUCCCGGUGCCGUCGCUAAGCAGUAGUGUCCGCCUGGGGAGACGGCGCAAGCUGAAAUCAAAGAAUUGACAGGGG
rnacentral:rRNA from 1 species